rnacentral:rRNA from 1 species
GAUGAACGCUGGCGGCGUGCCUAAUACAUGCAAGUCGAGCGAACAGACGAGGAGCUUGCUCCUCUGACGUUAGCGGCGGACGGGUGAGUAACACGUGGAUAACCUACCUAUAAGACUGGGAUAAAUUCGGGAAACCGGAGCUAAUACCGGAUAAUAUAUUGAACCGCAUGGUUCAAUAGUGAAAGACGGUUUUGCUGUCACUUAUAGAUGGAUCCGCGCCGCAUUAGCUAGUUGGUAAGGUAACGGCUUACCAAGGCAACGAUGAGUAGCCGACCUGAGAGGGUGAUCGGCCACACUGGAACUGAGACACGGUCCAGACUCCUACGGGAGGCAGCAGUAGGGAAUCUUCCGCAAUGGGCGAAAGCCUGACGGAGCAACGCCGCGUGAGUGAUGAAGGUCUUCGGAUCGUAAAACUCUGUUAUUAGGGAAGAACAAAUGUGUAAGUAACUAUGCACGUCUUGACGGUACCUAAUCAGAAAGCCACGGCUAACUACGUG